CUUAGAUAUAAUCCCUUUUUAUUUCAACUUAUAAUUUUCCCCAUUGAAAAGUUCUUGCACGAAGUUUUUUGUUCAAACUGUUUUAGUGCACGAUAUACUGUAUUUUCUUUCUGUUUCCCCGUGCAAUUUUUAAUUUUGCUCCCCCCCCCCCAUCACUUUUGUAAUGGUACUCCCAUUUUUGGCCAACAUCUUAAGAGGCAGUCUCUGUAAAAGCGGUCCACUGCAUUUCGGAUCAGAAAAUAGUUUUCUCCCAAAUUUUUACCGUGAAAUAGCACAUACCAGUGAGUUAUGAAACUGACUUUGGUUUUUCAAUUUUCAUAAAAAUAAUUUUUUUACAGCGCUUUAGCUCCAGGCGACCGUGUUCGCCGACUAUCAGCUCAUAUUCGACUCGAGUUCGUAGAAUAACUGUUAAAUAUCCGAUAUUCUUAUGUCACUUAAUUGACUUAAACGUAGGAAAAAUAACCAAAACACAUGUGCAUAUUCCACGACGAAAUCGACCGAUCUUACUGAACGUGACUUUAUAUUUUAAGGCUUAAAGUGCUUAUGAAACGAAAUUUUUACCUCAUUUUUUAUUGUCUUAUUAAAAGGUACUGCUUAAAUGCUUUGCAAUAGUGGCAAAACAAGAAAAUCUGAUAUCUUGAUGAUCAUUUAAUAAAAUUCAAUGAAACUUGGCACACUUAGUGCGUGCAACGAAGUGAACAAUUUGGCUUGUUUUUGUGCUUCUUAUGGCAACACACUCGUCACCAGUCCCCUCUCUUCCAAUUUCUAUAUGAUCCAUUUCCAACGAAAUAAAUGGUAAUUUCUGCAAUUGUCGCUUAUUACUAUCAUACGUAUCGAUAUUGUGACCAGUUUAAACCGUUAUAACAUACAAACAUCCUCUGCAAGAGGUCUACGGGAGGAAAUUUGUGAAAAGGAAGAAAAGAGAUUGGGCACUAGUGUGUUACCAUGACAACCACAUGACCUUCCAAAAAUAUUCAUAUGGGUGCACCCACUAAGUGUACCGAGUUUCAUUGAAUUUUAUUAAAUACUCACUAAGAUAUCAG